GAGCACGUAGGUGGGUUUGUAAGUCAGAUGUGAAAGCCUUCUGUUCAACGGAAGUAUUGCACCUGAAACUGCGAGUCUUGAGUGUAGGAGGGGAGAAUGGAACUUCUGGUGGAGCGGUGAAAUGCGUAGAUAUCAGAAGGAACGCCGGCGGCGAAAGCGAUUCUCUGGCCUAUUACUGACACUCAGUGUGCGAAAGCUAGGGGAGCAAACGGGAUUAGAUACCCCGGUAGUCCUAGCCGUAAACGAUGGGCACUAAGUAGAGGGGUUUU
rnacentral:rRNA from 1 species